rnacentral:rRNA from 1 species
UGGGGAAUAUUGCACAAUGGGGAACCUGAUGCAGCAACGCCGCGUGAGUGAUGAAGGCCUUCGGGUUGUAAAGCUCUGUCUUCAGGGACGAUAAUGACGGUACCUGAGGAGGAAGCCACGGCUAACUACGUGCCAGCAGCCGCGGUAAUACGUAGGUGGCAAGCGUUGUCCGGAUUUACUGGGCGUAAAGGGAGCGUAGGCGGAUACUUAAGUGGGAUGUGAAAUACCCCGGGCUCAACUCGGGUGCUGCAUUCCAAACUGGGUGUCUAGAGUGCAGGAGAGGAAAGUGGAAUUCCUAGUGUAGCGGUGAAAUGCGUAGAGAUUAGGAAGAACACCAGUGGCGAAGGGCGACUUUUUUCUGGACUGUAACUGACGCUGAGGCUCGAAAGCGUGGGGAGCAAACA